UACGUAGGGUGCGAGCGUUGUCCGGAAUUAUUGGGCGUAAAGAGCUUGUAGGUGGUUUUGUCGCGUCUGCUGUGAAAAUCCGAGGCUCAACCUCGGACUUGCAGUGGGUACGGGCAGACUAGAGUGUGGUAGGGGGAGACUGGAAUUCCUGGUGUAGCGGUGGAAUGCGCAGAUAUCAGGAGGAACACCGAUGGCGAAGGCAGGUCUCUGGGCCAUUACUGACACUGGAGAAGCGAAAAGCAUGGGGAGCGAACAGG
rnacentral:rRNA from 1 species